rnacentral:lncRNA from 1 species
GCCACCUUUAGAGAAAAAUACAGACUUGAAAGAGCUCUGUUUUCAAUGACACAGUAUUGUUUCAUGUUGACCUAAAAUGAUUAAUUCCUUUUUGUUUCUAUAGUUACCUUACUUGUUUCUUCCUGGUAUCUCAUAACCCUAUUUCCCACAUUCAGACUGGAUUUGCUAUUUAUACUAACAACAAUGGCAAUGAAGCUUUCCACUUAAGGCUCCUUUGACUCUUCUUUCUUUCUUUCUUUCUUUCUUUCUUUCUUUCUUUCUUUCCUUUCUCUCUUUCUCUCUUUCUUUCUUUCUCUCUUCCUCUCUUCCUCUCUUCCUCUCUUCCUUUCUUUCUUCCACCUUUCUUUCUUUUCCUUUCUCUCAUAUCUUUCUUUCUUUCUUUUUCUCUCUGUCUUAUAACUUUUUUUCUUUCUGUAAUAUCUUUUUUCUUUCUUCCUUUCCUUUCUCCUCUUUCCUUCCUUUCUUCCUUCCUUUCUCUCUCUCAUUCCUUCCUUCCUUUUUUCAAAUCUCAAGUAAAUGGCACUAGCAAAAAAAUUAUAUAUAUAUAUAUAUAUUUACAGAACAAAAAAUUAUGUUUUCAGAAUGCAUCUUAUUUCCAAACACCAAAUGAAAUGACUGCACUAACUUGUGCUCAUUUUUCAUAUUUAAAAAGCUACCUUACUCAGAGAAUCUCCAAAGAACAUUUGUUACAAAUGGAGCAGGAAUAUAUCCUGAGUAAACUGUUGUUCCCGUUUGGUAUUUUGGAGGGGAACCAUAUAUAAAAUACCUUGGCAAUAGAGCUAAGAACUGACUUUAGAAAUCCUAGUGACCAAUCCCCUUUCUCAAAUAACUUUAUUCCUAAAUCUCCUUCUAUUCUUCCCAUGAUAUACCAUGGACCUGGAGGAAGCUCCACUAUCUACUCAUAAGCCACCUUUUAGACCCUCUUCUAUCUUUUAAACCCACUUUAACAUGAACUUCUUUACGCAUUGAACCCGGAUGCCUUCCUGAGCUCUGAGCUGUGCUGGUCUCUGAACUGUCAUGCACUGCUUCCCGGCCUCUUCCUGAAGUUUCUGUUCCUUAUGUGUGUAUUGAAUUUAUU